UCCUGGUGGCUCAGACAGUAAAAAGUCUGCCUGCAAUGCAGGAGACCCAGGUUCAAUUCCUGGGUCAGGAA
rnacentral:tRNA from 1 species